AAAUUCCUACCAUGUGCGUAUAAUGAGUUUAUAUUGAUCCAACAUUUUUUUUAUGGGAAUCGAGCUCUUUUUGUGGAAUGAUAUUCAGGUUUAGUAACUUGAGAACAUGAAGCAAAAAGGAGAUACCCACCUGCGAGGAGCGGGUUCAAAAAUGACUCAAAAUACGGCAUGGUGGGGUUUUA
rnacentral:other from 1 species